rnacentral:rRNA from 1 species
AAGCAUAUCAAUAAGCGGAGGAAAAGAAACUAACAAGGAUUCCCCUAGUAACUGCGAGUGAAGCGGGAACAGCUCAAAUUUGAAAUCUCCGGGGUCCCCCUGGCGAAUUGUAGUUUCGAGAAGUGUUUUCGGCGGCGGCCUUGGCCCAAGUCCCUUGGAACAGGGCGUCAUAGAGGGUGAGAACCCCGUGAAGCCUUGGCUUGCUGCUAUGUGAUACACUUUCAAAGAGUCGGGUUGUUUGGGAUUGCAGCCCAAAAUGGGAGGUAAAUUUCUUCUAAAGCUAAAUACUGGCGAGAGACCGAUAGCGAACAAGUACCGUGAGGGAAAGAUGAAAAGAACUUUGAAAAGAGAGUUAAACAGUACGUGAAAUUGUCAAAAGGGAAAGGCUUGAAACCAGUCAUGCUGUCUGCGAUUCAGCGGGCCACGCCGGCACGUUCAUUUCGCAGAUGGCAGGUCAACGUCGGUUUCCUUCGCGUCGAAAGGCCUUGGGCAGGUAGCUUGCCUUUACGGGCGAGUGUUAUAGCCACUUGGCUCUGGCGUGUGGGGGGACCGAGGACCGCAGGGCGCAUUGGGACUUUCGGGUAGUGUGAACGCUUUUUGCAGACUGCAUGCAGGCUGCAAGAAGUCGUAGGGCUUUCCCGGCAAGCUCCUCUCCGACCCUUAGGACGUUGACGAAAUG